GAUGAACGCUAGCGGCAGGCUUAACACAUGCAAGUCGAGGGGCAGCACGGAUGUAGCAAUACAUUGGUGGCGACCGGCGCACGGGUGCGUAACACGUAUGGAAGUCUGCCCUGUACUAGGAGGAUAGCCCGGAGAAAUCCGGAUUAAUACUCCAUAAAUCGUCGAGGUGGCAUCACCUUGACCUGAAAGCUCCGGCGGUACAGGAUGACCAUGCGCCCGG
rnacentral:rRNA from 1 species